CCGAGUUUACAACUCCCAAACCCCUGUGAACAUACCUAUACUGUUGCCUCGGCGGAUCAGCCCGCGCCCGUAAAACGGGACGGCCCGCCAGAGGACCCCUAAACUCUGUUUCUAUAGUGGAACUUCUGAGUAAAACCAUAAAUAAAUCA
rnacentral:misc_RNA from 1 species